UCAAACUUGGUCAUUUAGAGGAAGUAAAAGUCGUAACAAGGUUUCCGUAGGUGAACCUGCGGAAGGAUCAUUACCGGGAAUGCCCUUCGGGGCCGACCUUCAACCCUUUGUUGUUAUCACCCUUGUUUCUUUGGCGGGCUCGCACCCGCCAGAAGAUCUCUCAAACUCAAUUACACGUGUCUUCUGAACGGCAACGAUAAUAAAAUAUAAAACUUUCAACAACGGAUCUCUUGGUUCUGGCAUCGAUGAAGAACGCAGC
rnacentral:misc_RNA from 1 species